rnacentral:rRNA from 1 species
AAAAACAUCGCCUCCCGCAAAAAUCAAUGUAUAGGAGGUCUUGCCUGCCCAGUGACUAUAAGUUAAACGGCCGCGGUAUUUUGACCGUGCAAAGGUAGCGCAAUCACUUGUCUUUUAAAUGAAGACCUGUAUGAACGGUGAAACGAGGGCUUAACUGUCUCCCCCUUCUAGUCAAUGAAAUUGAUCUACCCGUGCAGAAGCGGAUAUAAUAAUACAAGACGAGAAGACCCUUUGGAGCUUAAGAUAAAAGACCAAUUAUGUCAAAAGUCCUAAAACAAGACUAAACCAAAUAAUGCUGGUCCUAAUCUUCGGUUGGGGUGACCACGGGAGAAAACAAAACUCCCAUGCGGAUUGGGGUUAUUCCCUAAAACUAAGAAAGACAUCUCUAAGACACAGAACAUCUGACCACAAAGAUCCGGCUACAUACCGACCAACGGACCAAGUUACCCUAGGGAUAACAGCGCAAUCCCCUUCCAGAGUCCAUAUCGACAAGGGGGUUUACGACCUCGAUGUUGGAUCAGGACAUCCUAAUGGUGCAGCCGCUAUUAAGGGUUC